GAUGAAGAACGCAGUGAAAUGCGAUAAGUAGUGUGAAUUGCAGAAUUCAGUGAAUCAUCGAAUCUUUGAACGCACAUUGCGCCCUUUGGUAUUCCUUAGGGCAUGCCUGUUCGAGCGUCAUCUAAACCUUCAAGCCCUGCUUGGUGUUGGGUGCCUGUCCCGCCUCCGCGCGUGGACUCACCUCAAAUCCAUUGGCGGCCCCCGCGUCGGCCACGAGCGCAGCAGAAACGCGAACUCGUGAGCCCGUCCGGGCGGCUCCCAGAAGCUAACCCCCAAUUUUUGACCUCGGAUCAGGUAGGGAUACCCGCUGAACUUAAGCAUAUCAAUAAGCGGAGGA
rnacentral:misc_RNA from 1 species